rnacentral:tRNA from 1 species
CUGUCUUGUAGUAUAUAACUUAUUACUGUAAACUGCAACUUUAUCAAAACUUUUAGUCAAGACA